rnacentral:rRNA from 1 species
UACGUAGGCAGCAAGCGUUUGUUCGGAGUUACUGGGCGUAAAGGGUGUGUAGGCGGUUAUUUAAGUUUGGUGUGAAAUCUCCCGGCUCAACCGGGAGGGUGCGCCGAAUACUGAAUGACUUGGAGUGCGGGAGAGGAAGUGGAAUUCCUGGUGUAGCGGUGAAAUGACGUAGAUAUCAGGAGGAACACCGGUGGUGUAGACGGCUUCUGGACCGACACUGACGCUGAGGCGCGAAAGCUAGGGGAGCAAACGGG